UUUACUUGCAGGAAAUGGAUUUUUGGCCCGCCAAAAGUACAACUACUGUGCCAAAGGACAACUGUGGACAACAGAAGAUUCAAUGAUUUCAAUGAGAAUUCAACGACGAAGGAUAAGGGCAAGAAUAAGAACGAUCUCGCGCAUAGGAUGCAACGAUGUUCGAUCGAGUCGGAUAACACCGUUGAAAAAGCGUGCUCCGGAGAAAGCGGGGAAAAAGCGAGGAAAAAGGGAACGGUUAACUAGACGCGGAUACCUUAGAGCACUGUGUAAAAGGGAUGUCGGCCCUCGUGAUCUCCUUUUGCUCGGCGGUGCGAAGGAAAAACAAUACACGUAACAAAUACCUUUGGAGAGCCGCGAUCAAUAGCAAUAUCGGGACACACGCUGUGCCGAUAUGUGGUACAGUGGUAUAUCCUAUCCUCUUGGAUAUAUACCUGCGAACAUCACCCGGCGCCACUUUCCCUUCGUCAUCUGCUUUUACCGUUUAUAACCAAUUAUUAUAAUAAUCUUUCGCGAUUUCCUUCCGUCGUUUGCUGGACGAAAGAACAAAACGCGACGUGAUGUAUUAGUUUCAAUUCUAAAAUCACCGUACACGUACAACUCUUUCGAAUGAGAAUCUGGCAUUCUGACGAAACACGCGUGUUUCAUAUUCUCUAAACGCUUUUGAGCUGAUAUCGAGUUAAUAUUUAUUAUAAUAUAAAUUAAUAUUUCAGCGAGAGUCGAAGACCGAGGGCAAACGAUAAGCAACGACCGAUGGUGGGAAAAUGGUGGGAAAAAAUGAGUGAAAGAGAUGUGAAACAGACUGAAGAAAGGCGCGGAAGAAGACUCGCGUACAUCCAUCGUGUACAUGGACGGAUAAACUCGUGAGAGAUCUGGCUAACGACGACGAGACGUUUCGUCAGGGGUAACGUCCGACGAAAGGCUAGCCCCCUUCUCGUACAAAGAGAAAAGAGCGUGCGGGGAGUAUGGAGUAGGGAAAUACCAGGUGGCGGCCAAGCCGUAUCUAUCUCGUAGUCUCUCGUAGGGGCGAAAGGAAAGAAAUUGUUUCAGAGUCUUUCGACUAGUAGGAAAAGAAGGCGACGGUGAGACGGGUGCUCUGUCCCUCGAACGUGCAUGACGGCGACGUGCCACGUACGCGUCACGACCCACACAACACAUUCGUGGUCCAGGCGUCGCGCGGCGUCUGUUGCCCCGUAUACCGGAUAUCCGCUCAUCCUGCCACCGCCGAAGAAACAUCUUGCCUUCCGAGACGAGAGAGACGACGCUGGAAAAUCUCUCCCCGGCCCGUUCUCUUCGCUACAAAGUGCCACAACACGUGUCCCGAUGUGUUCGAAUAUAUACAUACGUGCAUGUAGGCCUUCCGAUAAAUAUACUCGCCACUCGGUCUCUAUUAAGCCUUGAUAAAUGAAUUUAGGUUAGGUUUUAAUGAUUUUCCAUUCGUGCGGCGUGGCACCGCUUGAAACGUUGCUGCGCGAUUGGUCCUUCAAUUGGAUCUCGUUCGAUUCUACGUGCACGACGUGUAAAAGUAAUGUAUCUGUAAUGUAUCUGUCCGCGUGUAAUUUUAUUUUCACCCCCCCCCCCAACAUCUUUCAAAUGUUGUUUGAAAUUUUGUAACGAUCAACAAAGAGCAUAAUUGUUCGUUGGGCCAGUAACAGUGGAAAAAUUGCGAAUCGUUUGAACUGAUGUAACUUUGCAAAGAAAGAUCACACGGUGAUCCAUUUGGUCUUGUUUUAAAGAGCGAAGCUUUUCUUCUUUUAACAGUCGCGAGACUGUGAACACACGUUUUUCUUCGAGAAUUGUAAAAGUAUUAAAAAUUUCUUUUUCCGCGACCGGGUGCACCAUCGUUUUGAAGAUUAGAGUUUCUCCCACAAUAUUUUUCUUUACUGUUUCAUUGAACAUUGAAUGUUGGAGUUAAACGGCGAAAAAUGUGAAAAUUUUAAGGCUCCAAAUUCAAUAAUACGAUAUUAUAAUUAUAUAAUGUAAAGUAAGCGAGAUAAUUUCAAGAGAUAAUUUUACAAACUUUCUACUGGAUUUUAGGAAAUUUCAGAAAUGGAAGCUCCCAUAAAUGUGUAAUGCUCGGGCAAAUUCGGAAUUCGAGGAACGUUGAAAAAUGAAUGAAUGUAAAUGAAUUUCUCUCUUUGGAUGUGGGCCACGCAAAGAUCUAGUCAAUCACAAUUAUAAAACGGAACGAGCGGUGAUGAUUAUUCCCUCUAAAGAAUUGUGAAAAAAAAAAAAAAAACGAUAGAGGCACGAGAAGUAACGAGAGAGUGUAAAGG